UCUCUUACAGGCAAUCGGUAAAUUGAUCUCCCUGUGCAAAAGCAGGGAUAAUAACAUAAGACGAGAAGUCCCUGUGGAACUUUAAAACCAGCAGCCACCCCAAAACACAUAAACCCCCACUGGGCUCACUGACAGCAUUGGGAGCUUGGCCUGCGUUUUUCGGUUGGGGCGACCUUGGAGAAAAACAAAUCCUCCAAAAAUUGGACCAUACAUCCAGACUGAGAGCAACUCCUCAACGUGCUAAUAGCAUCCAGACCCAAUAUAAUUGAUCAAUGGACCAAGCUACCCCAGGGAUAACAGCGCAAUCCCCUCCGAGAGUCCAUAUCGACGAGGGGGUUUACGACCUCGAUGUUGGAUCAGGACAUCCUAGUGGCUG
rnacentral:rRNA from 1 species